UAUGGUUAGACUAAAAUUCUCAGAAAUAUUGAAGUGCAUAGACAGAAAAACUGAAGAGGAGGAAUCAACAGGAGUGAUUUCAUUUUAGCUGAGUACACGGGUUCUGAUUUGAAACCCUUCUACAAGUAGGACUGCAGUUUGGCAUUACAUUAACCUGAAGGUGAAAAUCAUACUUGAUGCUGAAUUCUUCUUCCCAGCAUUUACUUUUGCCUCCCAAUCUGACUUGAGUGAGGAGAGAAGUAGAAUCUCGCUAGGCAAUUCAGGUACAGAUUUAGGACUGGUUUGCUUCAAAAUGACUCAAGAUGCUUGGCUCUUCAAAUGCAAAUCCAAAGGCAGCAUUGAUCUAUGACUCAUAUGAGGUCUCCUUGUUUCUGCUUCUGAAGUGCUGUGUUGAAAGAGAAGUAGGAAGAACGCCUGAAUGGGAUCAACCACUGCUUUUGUGAACAAAUACCAGCAAUUAAGCUAGACGUUAUUGCAGGGAGAGGGAAUAAAACUUGCAAAUUGUCGUACUUCUGCUUCAUUCCUCUGCCUCAAGAUUCUGUGGAUGGACUGGUAUUGAA